AGAAGAAAUGGUUAAUAAUGCUGCAGCAUCAUUUCGGGUCAAAAUGAAUUAUAUGCUUCUCAUGGCUCAUGAUAUCACUCUUGGCAAAGAUUUCAAACUAUUCUUCAAGGUAGUUAUUGUUCUGUGGCUUCUAUCUGUCAUAGGAAGCGUAAUAUCUUUCUUCACACUUGCAUAUAUUGGAACGAUAGUAUUCAUUACUGUGCCUGCCUUGUAUAAUAAAUUUGAAGACCACGUGGAUCGAUAUGCUGGAAAGAUCCACAGGCAAUUUUCAAGGCACUACAAAAUAGUGGAUGAGAGCAUUAGCAGGCUGCCCCGGAGUAUCUCCAAGAACAAAGAACUAUAGUCUUUUUUACCAAGUAGGAGCAUGUUGAUUUGCAUGAGAUAAAACUUUUAGGUGUGCAUUCCUUUAGUUCUGAUUCUCCUUUUCCAUAGAAUGAGAAUGAUCUUGAAAUCGUUCCUGUUUCCAAACUUCAAGUUUGGAUUUUCAGAAUUAAGCUAACAAUGGCAAUUGUCACCUACUCUCACCAUCUACGCUGUCCUAGUGGCAGGUGUUACAUAGUACAGAUUUUUGUAAACAUAUUGUAUUAUUUUUUGUGUGUUGUUGUUGAAAAGUUAACAUCUCG
rnacentral:misc_RNA from 1 species